UUGGACCGCAUGGUCCGAGUUUGAAAGAUGGCUUCGGCUAUCACUUUUGGAUGGUCCCGCGGCGUAUUAGCUAGAUGGUGGGGUAACGGCUCACCAUGGCAAUGAUACGUAGCCGACCUGAGAGGGUAAUCGGCCACAUUGGGACUGAGACACGGCCCAAACUCCUACGGGAGGCAGCAGUAGGGAAUCUUCCACAAUGGACGAAAGUCUGAUGGAGCAACGCCGCGUGAGUGAAGAAGGGUUUCGGCUCGUAAAACUCUGUUGUUAAAGAAGAACAUAUCUGAGAGUAACUGUUCAGGUAUUGACGGUAUUUAACCAGAAAGCCACGGCUAACUACGUGCCAGCAGCCGCGGUAAUACGUAGGUGGCAAGCGUUGUCCGGAUUUAUUGGGCGUAAAGCGAGCGCAGGCGGUUUUUUAAGUCUGAUGUGAAAGCCUUCGGCUCAACCGAAGAAGUGCAUCGGAAACUGGGAAACUUGAGUGCAGAAGAGGACAGUGGAACUCCAUGUGUAGCGGUGAAAUGCGUAGAUAUAUGGAAGAACACCAGUGGCGAAGGCGGCUGUCUGGUCUGUAACUGACGCUGAGGCUCGAAAGUAUGGGUAGCAAACAGGAUUAGAUACCCUGGUAGUCCAUAC
rnacentral:rRNA from 1 species